rnacentral:rRNA from 1 species
GUUAUAUGGUCAAGUGAAGAAGCGCAUACGGUGGAUGCCUUGGCAGUCAGAGGCGAUGAAAGACGUGGUAGCCUGCGAAAAGCUUCGGGGAGUCGGCAAACAGACUUUGAUCCGGAGAUCUCUGAAUGGGGGAACCCACCUAGGAUAACCUAGGUAUCUUGUACUGAAUCCAUAGGUGCAAGAGGCGAACCAGGGGAACUGAAACAUCUAAGUACCCUGAGGAAAAGAAAUCAACCGAGAUUCCCUUAGUAGUGGCGAGCGAACGGGGAUUAGCCCUUAAGCUUCAUUGAUUUUAGCGGAACGCUCUGGAAAGUGCGGCCAUAGUGGGUGAUAGCCCCGUACGCGAAAGGAUCUUUGAAGUGAAAUCGAGUAGGACGGAGCACGAGAAACUUUGUCUGAACAUGGGGGGACCAUCCUCCAAGGCUAAAUACUACUGACUGACCGAUAGUGAACCAGUACCGUGAGGGAAAGGCGAAAAGAACCCCGGAGAGGGGAGUGAAAUAGAACCUGAAACCGUAUGCGUACAAGCAGUGGGAGCCUACUUGUUAGGUGACUGCGUACCUUUUGUAUAAUGGGUCAGCGACUUAUAUUCAGUGGCAAGCUUAACCGUAUAGGGUAGGCGUAGCGAAAGCGAGUCUUAAUAGGGCGUUUAGUCGCUGGGUAUAGACCCGAAACCGGGCGAUCUAUCCAUGAGCAGGUUGAAGGUUAGGUAACACUGACUGGAGGACCGAACCCACUCCCGUUGAAAAGGUAGGGGAUGACUUGUGGAUCGGAGUGAAAGGCUAAUCAAGCUCGGAGAUAGCUGGUUCUCCUCGAAAGCUAUUUAGGUAGCGCCUCAUGUAUCACUCUGGGGGGUAGAGCACUGUUUCGGCUAGGGGGUCAUCCCGACUUACCAAACCGAUGCAAACUCCGAAUACCCAGAAGUGCCGAGCAUGGGAGACACACGGCGGGUGCUAACGUCCGUCGUGAAAAGGGAAACAACCCAGACCGCCAGCUAAGGUCCCAAAGUUGUCGUUAAGUGGUAAACGAUGUGGGAAGGCUUAGACAGCUAGGAGGUUGGCUUAGAAGCAGCCACCCUUUAAAGAAAGCGUAAUAGCUCACUAGUCGAGUCGGCCUGCGCGGAAGAUGUAACGGGGCUCAAACCACACACCGAAGCUGCGGGUGUCACGUAAGUGACGCGGUAGAGGAGCGUUCUGUAAGCCUGUGAAGGUGAGUUGAGAAGCUUGCUGGAGGUAUCAGAAGUGCGAAUGCUGACAUGAGUAACGACAAUGGGUGUGAAAAACACCCACGCCGAAAGACCAAGGGUUCCUGCGCAACGUUAAUCGACGCAGGGUUAGUCGGUUCCUAAGGCGAGGCUGAAAAGCGUAGUCGAUGGGAAACAGGUUAAUAUUCCUGUACUUCUGGUUACUGCGAUGGAGGGACGGAGAAGGCUAGGCCAGCUUGGCGUUGGUUGUCCAAGUUUAAGGUGGUAGGCUGAAAUCUUAGGUAAAUCCGGGGUUUCAAGGCCGAGAGCUGAUGACGAGUCGUCUUUUAGAUGACGAAGUGGUUGAUGCCAUGCUUCCAAGAAAAGCUUCUAAGCUUCAGGUAACCAGGAACCGUACCCCAAACCGACACAGGUGGUCGGGUAGAGAAUACCAAGGCGCUUGAGAGAACUCGGGUGAAGGAACUAGGCAAAAUGGCACCGUAACUUCGGGAGAAGGUGCGCCGGCUAGGGUGAAGGAUUUACUCCGUAAGCUCUGGCUGGUCGAAGAUACCAGGCCGCUGCGACUGUUUAUUAAAAACACAGCACUCUGCAAACACGAAAGUGGACGUAUAGGGUGUGACGCCUGCCCGGUGCCGGAAGGUUAAUUGAUGGGGUUAGCGCAAGCGAAGCUCUUGAUCGAAGCCCCGGUAAACGGCGGCCGUAACUAUAACGGUCCUAAGGUAGCGAAAUUCCUUGUCGGGUAAGUUCCGACCUGCACGAAUGGCGUAACGAUGGCGGCGCUGUCUCCACCCGAGACUCAGUGAAAUUGAAAUCGCUGUGAAGAUGCAGUGUAUCCGCGGCUAGACGGAAAGACCCCGUGAACCUUUACUGUAGCUUUGCACUGGACUUUGAGCCUGCUUGUGUAGGAUAGGUGGGAGGCUUUGAAGCGUGGACGCCAGUUCGCGUGGAGCCAUCCUUGAAAUACCACCCUGGCAUGCUUGAGGUUCUAACUCUGGUCCGUAAUCCGGAUCGAGGACAGUGUAUGGUGGGCAGUUUGACUGGGGCGGUCUCCUCCUAAAGAGUAACGGAGGAGUACGAAGGUGCGCUCAGACCGGUCGGAAAUCGGUCGCAGAGUAUAAAGGCAAAAGCGCGCUUGACUGCGAGACAGACACGUCGAGCAGGUACGAAAGUAGGUCUUAGUGAUCCGGUGGUUCUGUAUGGAAGGGCCAUCGCUCAACGGAUAAAAGGUACUCCGGGGAUAACAGGCUGAUACCGCCCAAGAGUUCAUAUCGACGGCGGUGUUUGGCACCUCGAUGUCGGCUCAUCACAUCCUGGGGCUGAAGCCGGUCCCAAGGGUAUGGCUGUUCGCCAUUUAAAGUGGUACGCGAGCUGGGUUUAGAACGUCGUGAGACAGUUCGGUCCCUAUCUGCCGUGGACGUUUGAGAUUUGAGAGGGGCUGCUCCUAGUACGAGAGGACCGGAGUGGACGAACCUCUGGUGUUCCGGUUGUCACGCCAGUGGCAUUGCCGGGUAGCUAUGUUCGGAAAAGAUAACCGCUGAAAGCAUCUAAGCGGGAAACUUGCCUCAAGAUGAGAUCUCACUGGGAACUUGAUUCCCCUGAAGGGCCGUCGAAGACUACGACGUUGAUAGGCUGGGUGUGUAAGCGUUGUGAGGCGUUGAGCUAACCAGUACUAAUUGCCCGUGAGGCUUGACCAUAUAACACCCAAACA